AAAUCGUACCCCAAACCGACACAGGUGGUCAGGUAGAGAAUACCAAGGCGCUUGAGAGAACUCGGGUGAAGGAACUAGGCAAAAUGGUGCCGUAACUUCGGGAGAAGGCACGCUGGUGUGUAGGUGAAGUCCCUGCGGAUGGAGCUGAGACCAGUCGAAGAUACCAGCUGGCUGCAACUGUUUAUUAAAAACACAGCACUGUGCAAACACGAAAGUGGACGUAUACGGUGUGACGCCUGCCCGGUGCCGGAAGGUUAAUUGAUGGGGUUAUCCGUAA
rnacentral:rRNA from 1 species